CCCCCGAGAAGGUCCCUGGAGUCCCCAGCUUUGGACCACUCAUGCUCGAUCCAGGCGUGUUCCUGAGUGAAUUAAUCCUCUUAUGACUAAAAGGUAACGUGGAAGGACGUCCUUUUGAUGUGGAAAAGCACCAUUUGUGACUCACAUUCAGACUGAUUAAGGAAUAAUUGUUGUUAAACGCUUUGCAAGAGGAAAGUGUUUAAUUGAGGGGCAUUCGUAAUUUUACGGCUUAGUGCAAAAUUAAGCGUAAUUAAAAACUCAGAAAUUCCAA
rnacentral:sRNA from 1 species